GACGAACGCUGGCGGCGUGCUUAACACAUGCAAGUCGAACGGAAAGGCCCUGCUUUUGUGGGGUGCUCGAGUGGCGAACGGGUGAGUAACACGUGAGUAACCUGCCCUUGACCUUGGGAUAACUUCAGGAAACUGGGGCUAAUACCGGAUAGGAGCUCCUGCUGCAUGGUGGGGGUUGGAAAGUUUCGGCGGUUGGGGAUGGACUCGCGGCUUAUCAGCUUGUUGGUGGGGUAGUGGCUUACCAAGGCUUUGACGGGUAGCCGGCCUGGGAGGGUGACCGGCCACAUUGGGUCUGAGAUACGGCCCAGACUCCUACGGGAGGCAGCAGUGGGGAAUAUUGCACAAUGGGCGGAAGCCUGAUGCAGCAACGCCGCGUGCGGGAUGACGGCCUUCGGGUUGUAAACCGCUUUCGCCUGUGACGAAGCGUGAGUGACGGUAAUGGGUAAAGAAGCACCGGCUAACUACGUG
rnacentral:rRNA from 1 species